AGAGUUUGAUCCUGGCUCAGAUUGAACGCUGGCGGCAUGCUUUACACAUGCAAGUCGAACGGCAGCGCGGGGCAACCUGGCGGCGAGUGGCGAACGGGUGAGUAAUAUAUCGGAACGUACCCAAGAGUGGGGGAUAACGUAGCGAAAGUUACGCUAAUACCGCAUACGAUCUAAGGAUGAAAGUGGGGGAUCGCAAGACCUCAUGCUCCUGGAGCGGCCGAUAUCUGAUUAGCUAGUUGGUGAGGUAAAGGCUCACCAAGGCGACGAUCAGUAGCUGGUCUGAGAGGACGACCACCCACACUGGAACUGAGACACGGUCCAGACUCCUACGGGAGGCAGCAGUGGGGAAUUUUGGACAAUGGGCGCAAGCCUGAUCCAGCAAUGCCGCGUGAGUGAAGAAGGCCUUCGGGUUGUAAAGCUCUUUUGUCAGGGAAGAAACGGUUGAGGCUAAUAUCCUCGGCUAAUGACGGUACCUGAAGAAUAAGCACCGGCUAACUACGUGCCAGCAGCCGCGGUAAUACGUAGGGUGCAAGCGUUAAUCGGAAUUACUGGGCGUAAAGCGUGCGCAGGCGGUUUUGUAAGUCUGUCGUGAAACCCCCGGGCUCAACCUGGGAAUUGCGAUGGACUCUGCAAGGCUUGAAUCUGGCAGAGGGGGGUAGAAUUCCACGUGUAGCAGUGAAAUGCGUAGAGAUGUGGAGGAACACCGAUGGCGAACGGCAGCCCCCUGGGUCAAGAUUGACGCUCAUGCACGAAGCGUGGAGAGCAACAAGGAUUAGAUACCCCUGAUAGUCCCACGCCCCUAAACGAUGUC
rnacentral:rRNA from 1 species